GGGAUUGCCUCAGUAACGGCGAGUGAAGCGGCAACAGCUCAAAUUUGAAAUCUGGCCCCUUCGGGGUCCGAGUUGUAAUUUGUAGAGAGUGUUUCGGGCGAGACCACGGUCUAAGUCUGUUGGAACAUUACGUCAUAGAGGGUGAGAACCCCGUAUGCGACCGUGGCUCGAGCCCAUGUGAAGCCUCUUCGACGAGUCGAGUUGUUUGGGAAUGCAGCUCAAAAUGGGUGGUAAAUUUCAUCUAAAGCUAAAUACUGGCUGGAGACCGAUAGCGCACAAGUAGAGUGAUCGAAAGAUGAAAAGCACUUUGGAAAGAGAGUCAAACAGUACGUGAAAUUGUUGAAAGGGAAGCGCUGGCAACCAGACCUGUCCGUAGGCGAUCAGCCGCUGUUCUCAGCGGUGCACUCGUUCUGCGAUCAGGCCAGCAUCGGUUUCGGCGGUCGGAUAAAGGCCCGGGGAACGUAGCUCUCUUUCGGGGGAGUGUUAUAGCCCCGGGCGCAAUGCGGCCAGCCGGGACCGAGGACCGCGCAUUUAUGCUAGGAUGCUGGCGUAAUGGUUGUCAGCGACCCGUCUUGAAACACGGACCAAGGAGUCUAACAUCUAUGCGAGUGUUUGGGUGUCAAACCCAUGCGCGGAAUGAAAGUGAACGGAGGUGAGAACCCUUUAGGGCGCAUCAUCGACCGAUCCAGAAGUUUACGGAUGGAUUUGAGUAUGAGCAUAGCUGUUGGGACCCGAAAGAUGGUGAACUAUGCCUGAAUAGGGUGAAGCCAGAGGAAACUCUGGUGGAGGCUCGCAGCGGUUCUGACGUGCAAAUCGAUCGUCAAAUUUGGGUAUAGGGGCGAAAGACUAUCGAC
rnacentral:rRNA from 1 species